rnacentral:rRNA from 1 species
AGUGAACGCUGGCGGUAGGCCUAACACAUGCAAGUCGAACGGCAGCACAGUAAGAGCUUGCUCUUACGGGUGGCGAGUGGCGGACGGGUGAGGAAUACAUCGGAAUCUACUUUUUCGUGGGGGAUAACGUAGGGAAACUUACGCUAAUACCGCAUACGACCUACGGGUGAAAGCAGGGGAUCUUCGGACCUUGCGCGAUUGAAUGAGCCGAUGUCGGAUUAGCUAGUUGGCGGGGUAAAGGCCCACCAAGGCGACGAUCCGUAGCUGGUCUGAGAGGAUGAUCAGCGACACUGGAACUGAGACACGGUCCAGACUCCUACGGGAGGCAGCAGUGGGGAAUAUUGGACAAUGGGCGCAAGCCUGAUCCAGCCAUACCGGGUGGGUGAAGAAGGCCUUCGGGUUGUAAAGCCCUUUUGUUGGGAAAGAAAAGCAGCAGGUUAAUACCCCGCUGUUCUGACGGUACCCAAAGAAUAAGCACCGGCUAACUUCGUG